rnacentral:rRNA from 1 species
UCCGUAGGGUGCAAGCGUUAAUCGGAAUUACUGGGCGUAAAGCGUGCGCAGGCGGUGAUGUAAGACCGUUGUGAAAUCCCCGGGCUCAACCUGGGAACUGCAUCUGUGACUGCAUUGCUGGAGUGCGGCAGAGGGGGAUGGAAUUCCGCGUGUAGCAGUGAAAUGCGUAGAUAUGCGGAGGAACACCGAUGGCGAAGGCAAUCCCCUGGGCCUGCACUGACGCUCAUGCACGAAAGCGUGGGGAGCAAACAGG